rnacentral:lncRNA from 1 species
UGUUUGCUGCUGUGCUUCAUUUCUUCUGCACAUUGACAUUCAUUUCUUUUCAUUCUGAAGAACAUCUGCUGGCCAUUGGACUUUCAAAUUAAAAUCUUUAAAAAAUUUUUAGGAUUUAAAAAUAUUAGUGUUGGCCAGGUGUGGUGGCUCACGCCUGUAAUCCCAGCUGGUUUUGUGCCUUCAAGGAACCCCAAAUUCCCACCCAGCCAAUGGAAAUGGCAAGCAGUUUCGUUCUGUUGAUGUAAUGUAUCCUGCUUAUUGAUUUGCAUACGUUGAACCAUUCUUUCAUGCCUGGAAUAAGUCUCACUUGCUUAGUUGUAAGUUCUUUCCCAAGGCCAAUGUACAGAAUAGUGUUUCCUAGGUUUUCUUCUAGGAUUCUUACAGUUUGAAGUCUUACAUUAAAUCUUUAAUCCUGAGUUAAUUUUUAUAUACGGUGAAAGGUAGGUUUCCAGUUUCAUUCUUCUGCAUGUGGAUAGCCA